ACUCCUCUCCUCUCUCCUCUCUGCUCUCUCUGCUCUAAGUACCCUAGCACAUUGAGAAAAACAGCUCAAAUAGCUACUUUGAUCACGAUUUUGAGCGAUUUGAAAGCCGAUUCAGAAGAAGUUUUAGUUGAAGAAAAGAUAGAUCAAGUCAUAAUUUCAUCACUUUGUGAAGUCAUUUGGAGUUUCUAGAGUAAGAUUUGCCGUGCAAAGUGAACUACGAAGUUGAAGGUGAAAAAAUAUCAUCUGAGUGGCAAACAAUGAGGAGAUGACGUGAUUGAAGAAACUGUGUUUCGAUCUUCGAUGUCCCUUUUGAGGUUGACUCCAUUGAUAUAUUACUGGUGAUAUGUUCAUGCUGACGGAUUUUUUUGAACUAUUAUGGCGCUUAAUUUUAUUCGGAACAACAUUCAUAUUGAAGUUGAGGUAUAAAUGACGCUGUGUAAUUUUGUAAAUAUUUUUUAUAUUGAUGUACAGUUGUGAAUGAUGUUACUGAUGCUGCAAAUAUUUCUAGCAGAAAUAUGGUAUUUGUUUAGUCAUAUGAUAUUUAAAUGUUAUCAUCAUACUAUUA